GUUGUGGCUCAGUGGUAGAGUGCUCACCUAGCACCUGCUAGACCCUGGGUUUGAUCCUCAGCACACA
rnacentral:tRNA from 1 species